rnacentral:rRNA from 1 species
UUAAAUUGAAGAGUUUGAUCAUGGCUCAGAUUGAACGCUGGCGGCGGGCCUAACACAUGCAAGUCGAACGGUAACAGGAA